rnacentral:rRNA from 1 species
AUUGAACGCUGGCGGCAGGCCUAACACAUGCAAGUCGAGCGAGCGGCGGACGGGUGAGUAAUGUAUGGGGACUGCCCGAUAGAGGGGGAUAACUACUGGAAACGGUAGCUAAUACCGCAUACUAUCGGAUAACCCAUAUGGGAUUAGCUAGUAGGUGAGGUAAUGGCUCACAUAGGCGACGAUCCCGAGCUGGUCUGAGAGGAUGAUGAGGCACACGGGGAAUGAGACACGGCCCAUACUCCUACGGUGCCAGCAGGGGGGAAUAUUGCACAAUGGGCGCAAGCCGGAUUCAGCCAUGCCGCGUUUAUGAAGAAGGCCAUAGAGUUGUAAAGUACGUUCAGUCGGGAAGCGUUACCGACAGAAGAAGCACCGGCUAACUCCGUGCCAGCAGCCGCGGUAAUAC